rnacentral:rRNA from 1 species
UACGUAGGGUGCAAGCGUUGUCCGGAAUUAUUGGGCGUAAAGAGCUCGUAGGUGGUCUGUCGCGUCGGCUGUGAAAACUCGGGGCUCAACCCCGAGCCUGCAGUCGAUACGGGCAGACUUGAGUGCGGUAGGGGAGACUGGAAUUCCUGGUGUAGCGGUGAAAUGCGCAGAUAUCAGGAAGAACACCCGUGGCGAAAGCGGCUCUCUGGAACGGUACUGACGCUGAGACGCGAAAGCGCGGGGAGCGAACAGG